rnacentral:misc_RNA from 1 species
GAUGAAGAACGCAGCGAAAUGCGAUACGUAAUGUGAAUUGCAAAUUCAGUGAAUCAUCGAGUCUUUGUACGCACAUUGCGCCCCCUGGUAUUCCGGGGGGCAUGCCUGUCCGAGCGUCAUUGCUGCCCUCAAGCACGGCUUGUGUGUUGGGCCCCGUCCUCCGAUCCCGGGGGACGGGCCCGAAAGGCAGCGGCGGCACCGCGUCCGGUCCUCGAGCGUAUGGGGCUUUGUCACCCGCUCUGUAGGCCCGGCCGGCGCUUGCCGAUCAACCCAAAUUUUUAUCCAGGUUGACCUCGGAUCAGGUAGGGAUACCCGCUGAACUUAAGCAUAUCAAUAAGCGGAGGA